rnacentral:tRNA from 1 species
GAUGGGCCAAGCGGAGCUGCUAACUCUAAAGACUGGGCCCAACCGCCCAGACCCAUCCAA